rnacentral:tmRNA from 1 species
GGGGUUGACUGGUUUCGACAGCAAGACCAAUGCAUAAGUAAGCAUGCAGAGAACCGUAGCGCGAUCUCUUAAAUCCCUUGCUACAAAUUUUUAACUGGCAACGAAGAGUUCGCUCUUGCAGCUUAAUCCGAAGUUUAGUAGGCACAAGCGCUUUCCCGAAGAUAGUAAGGAAGCAAGAUGUCUCGCCAUCGCUCUGUUCUGCGGCGUUGGAUUUUGGGGCAUAGGAAUGCAGAAAUAAGGUUUUGGGCACUUUGACCAAAGCUCGAAAAUUUUAGAAGAUAAGCUCAAAGUUGGCGGUCUGUUGUCUGCUUUGGGUCGAAAACCAAUAACAGAAUAAGCAUGUAGAAAGCCUAUGUAUUGCUUGUUUGGACGAGGGUUCGAAUCCCUCCAACUCCACAA